GAACCUACGGUUGCUGCCGUUGCAUCGUGAGGAGGCCGGGCGAGCGUGGAUCUUCGCCGUUCUUGACGUCGCGCCAGUGCUAGUCGCCGUCGAGAUUUCCAGCGUCGACCGUUGGCGUUUCGGCUCGUACUCGACGUAGGAGCGUCGGAUUUUGACGAGGCUUGAUUCGCUGGAUUCAGGACUUCGAGAGGAAUCCACGAAACCCUUACUUGCCAGAUUUCGUUGAGAGCGUGGUGUUAGCUCGACUCCCGGAUUUGGAGGGUGUAGAUCGACCAGCAGGUGGUGCUGCAGCUGUGAGGGUGUUUUGCUGCCAGAAUUAGCGACUAAGAGCCACAGGUUUCGGCUACUGCGCCUUCCGCGGAUCAGGAUCGAGGCAAGGGCGUCGCGA